rnacentral:rRNA from 1 species
UACGUAGGGGGCAAGCGUUGUUCGGAAUUACUGGGCGUAAAGGGCGCGUAGGCGGCACGGCAAGUCAGGAGUGAAAGGCCUGGGCUCAACCGAGGAACUGCUUUUGAGACUGCCGAGCUAGAGUGCAGAAGGGGCAACUGGAAUUCCCAGUGUAGCGGUGAAAUGCGCAGAUAUCGGGAAGAACACCUAUGGCGAAGGCAGCUCUCUGGGACGGUACUGACGCUGAGACGCGAAAGCGUGGGGAGCAAACAGG